AGAGUUUGAUCCUGGCUCAGAGCGAACGCUGGCGGCAGGCUUAACACAUGCAAGUCGAGCGGGCACUUCGGUGUCAGCGGCAGACGGGUGAGUAACACGUGGGAACGUACCCUUUGGUUCGGAAUAACGCUGGGAAACUAGCGCUAAUACCGGAUACGCCCUUUUGGGGAAAGGCUUGCUGCCGAAGGAUCGGCCCGCGUCUGAUUAGCUAGUUGGUGGGGUAAUGGCCUACCAAGGCGACGAUCAGUAGCUGGUCUGAGAGGAUGAUCAGCCACACUGGGACUGAGACACGGCCCAGACUCCUACGGGAGGCAGCAGUGGGGAAUAUUGGACAAUGGGCGCAAGCCUGAUCCAGCCAUGCCGCGUGAGUGAUGAAGGCCUUAGGGUUGUAAAGCUCUUUUGUCCGGGACGAUAAUGACGGUACCGGAAGAAUAAGCCCCGGCUAACUUCGUGCCAGCAGCCGCGGUAAUACGAAGGGGGCUAGCGUUGCUCGGAAUCACUGGGCGUAAAAGGGCGCGUAGGCGGCCAUUCAAGUCGGGGGUGAAAGCCUGUGGCUCAACCACAGAAUUGCCUUCGAUACUGUUUGGCUUGAGUAUGGUAGAGGUCGGUGGAACUGCGAGUGUAGAGGUGAAAUUCGUAGAUAUUCGCAAGAACACCAGUGGCGAAGGCGGCCGACUGGACCAUUACUGACGCUGAGGCGCGAAAGCGUGGGGAGCAAACAGGAUUAGAUACCCUAGUAGUCC
rnacentral:rRNA from 1 species